rnacentral:rRNA from 1 species
GGUUAAGCGAAUAAGCGUACACGGUGGAUGCCUAGGCAGUCAGAGGCGAUGAAGGACGUGCUAAUCUGCGAUAAGCGCCGGUAAGGUGAUAUGAACCGUUAUAACCGGCGAUUUCCGAAUGGGGAAACCCAGUGUGAUCCGUCACACUAUCAUUACCUGAAUACAUAGGGUAAUGAAGCGAACCGGGAGAACUGAAACAUCUAAGUACCCCGAGGAAAAGAAAUCAAACGAGAUUCCCCCAGUAGCGGCGAGCGAACGGGGAGCAGCCCAGAACCUUAAUCACUAUCAGCAUCAGGAGAACAGUCUGGAAAGGCUGGCCGCAGCAGGUGAUAGCCCUGUAUCCGAAGGUGCUGGU